CAAGGUCCUCUGCCUCCAAAUACGCACAACAGCUAUGAGCGAGGCUUCUUCGACCGCUGUCCCUGCAAUGGUCUUCCAUACGAGUGUGCCAGACGAGGUCCUCUGCUUCUUCGACCGUCGUCCUUGCAAUGGCUCCAAGUUUGGCCUUCGACGACGUGCAUUAGGCCAAGCACGUUUUCAGUGUCUCAAAGCCCUCAUCUCUCUUUCUCCAAUGUACGAGAACGACAAGGCUCGAUGAGGUAUCUCACUCUCUCUAUCUCUCUUUCUCUAACAUUUUGUCUCUCACUCUUUUUGUAGCUGCGACGACGAGGUGGGAGUCAUAUGACUGGCAAUGAAUGGGUUGAGAUGCGAGGCUGGAGGCAAUGUCAAACCAUGGGGUUGGCGGCGACGAUGGAGCACAGACCAAUGGGGAUUUCUACAGUAUCUCUUUCGUUUACACAUCCAAAGUUUUUCUUUUCUUUUCUAUUAAUGUAUAUAUUUUACAAAUCUAUUUAUAUAUAUUUUUGGUACAAAUAUAUUGUUUUACGUUUUUUUUUUAAUUUGACUAGUUAUGCUCUAUUAUAUAGAUUUAAUUUCUAUUACAUGUAUAAGUAUAAUCCACAACUACUGAGUGUACCAAUGGCCUUCAUUUGUCUAACUUGUAUCAUCAUGUGUUUCAAUUUUGACUUGCUAAUUUUAUCUUAAGUAUAUUAGAAGAGUCGAUAUUUGACUUCUACAACUAUAUAUUACCAUCAUGAGCCAUAAACAAAAUUGAGAUAUAGUUUUAGAAAACUAGAAAGUAGUGAAGAGGAAGAAUAAUGCCAUGCUCUAAUUUUGAGGAAUAAUAAUAUAGUGGCUAUAUCAUUGCUCUUGUUACUAUGACAAUUAAAAAGUUCAACAAAUUGACAAGUUAAAAUGAUUAUACUUUUUUUUCUUAUAAUAAUGUACUGGUUAGAAGAAAAUGGUUUUGUGCUCAUUUGUGGAAAACAUGAUUCUACUUGCAUUUAAACAAUAUGUUUUGAUAUAUUUUUCUCCAAAUUUGUAAAACUUUAUACAAUCUUAUAUUCCACUAGAGAAUAGUCACAGUAUCUUUAGAGAUAAUAACUAAAUGAUACACGCAGACAUUAUGAAAUCAAGUUUACAAGUCGAUGUAAUCGUUUUAGUACUGUUCAUUUCAUGAUAAUACUGCUAGUCUUUGAAUUUUUUUGUCUUUCUUAACAUUAUUGCUGCUGAAUGGCUAGUUUUGGUCAUAAAUUAUUGAUUGGUUAUAGAAUAAAAUGGUAGAAACAGGGUCAUGCUUUUUGGUUUGAUUUGGUCUCAUUUAAUUUUUCUUGAUGUGUUAGCUCUGAGUAACAGGGUCGUGCUUUGUUUUGGCUAAGAAUCAUUAAAAGGUAUUUGUUGAUUGUACCAAGGUACGUACGAGGUUGGUCGUUUGCUAGCUAACGAAAGCAACAAUACAAGGUGGAAGUGGAAGUCAUAUAUUAGUUAUUAUGAUUGUUCCUUUUUCAUUUUGAUGUGUAUUUGUUGUAUAAAUCUGAGUGAAAUAUUCUACAUUAUAUAUAAGUACAUACAUGAUCAGCUUAUUUAGUAUGGAUACUAGAAUAUUUUGGGUUAGUUUUUGUUGUUUGUAAUUUUAAAACUGUUUAAUUGGUCAUAUGUUAUUUUUAUUUUAAUGUUAACUUGGUGUUUGUUCUAAAUUAGUGUAUAUGAUUUUAGUAUAAUUAUGAAGAUACCCUUUUCUUAU